rfam:Clostridium sp. CAG:768 genomic scaffold, scf40
UCCCGGAUCGUCUAGUGGCAGGACUGAAGAUUCUGGCUCUUCCAACGGUGGUUCGAAUCCAUCUCCGGGAA